GACGUAGGGGGCCAGCGUUGUUCGGAAUUACUGGGCGUAAAGGGUUCGUAGGCGGUGUGGCGAGUCGGGAGUGAAAUCUCUGGGCUCAACCCAGAGUCUGCUUCCGAAACUGCUGUGCUUGAGUGUGGGAGAGGCGCGUGGAAUUGCAGGUGUAGCGGUGAAAUGCGUAGAUAUCUGCAGGAACACCCGUGGCGAAAGCGGCGCGCUGGACCACUACUGACGCUGAGGAACGAAAGCUAGGGGAGCAAACAGG
rnacentral:rRNA from 1 species